GAUGAACGCUGGCGGCGUGCCUAAUACAUGCAAGUCGAGCGAACAGACGAGGAGCUUGCUCCUCUGACGUUAGCGGCGGACGGGUGAGUAACACGUGGAUAACCUACCUAUAAGACUGGGAUAACUUCGGGAAACCGGAGCUAAUACCGGAUAAUAUAUUGAACCGCAUGGUUCAAUAGUGAAAGACGGUUUUGCUGUCACUUAUAGAUGGAUCCGCGCCGCAUUAGCUAGUUGGUAAGGUAACGGCUUACCAAGGCAACGAUGCGUAGCCGACCUGAGAGGGUGAUCGGCCACACUGGAACUGAGACACGGUCCAGACUCCUACGGGAGGCAGCAGUAGGGAAUCGUCCGCAAGGGGCGAAAGCCUGACGGAGCAACGCCGCGUGAGUGAUGAAGGUCUUCGGAUCGUAAAACUCUGUUAUUAGGGAAGAACAAAUGUGUAAGUAACUAUGCACGUCUUGACGGUACCGAAUCAGAAAGCCACGGCUAACUACGUG
rnacentral:rRNA from 1 species